rnacentral:RNase_P_RNA from 1 species
CCAGAUGGUUGGGUGAUCGCUCUUGUUCGCAAGGGAGGAAAGUCCGGGCUCCACGGAAACACGACGCCGGAUAACGUCCGGCGGAGGCGACUCUAGGGAAAGUGCCACAGAAAGCAAACCGCCGCGCAAGCGGUAAGGGUGAAAGGGUGCGGUAAGAGCGCACCGCACUGCCGGUAACGGCAGUGGCAGGGUAAACCCCGUCGGGAGCAAGACCAAAUAGGAGCAACGCAUGAUCUGUUUCCGGAUCGUUGCUCGGGUAGGUUGCAAGAGGUGUCUGGUAACAGGCAUCCCAGAUGAAUGGUCACCAGCACCUUUAGGGGUGUGUACAAAACCCGGCUUAUAGACCGUCUGGCCCA